rnacentral:rRNA from 1 species
UACAAGGCGGAUGGCUAAGCCCAUAUACGAUGGAAUAGAAGGUAGGAAGGACGUCCAAGAAAAGCUUCGAUCAUUAAACGUGACCGUACUAAAACUGACACAGGUAGGCGGGUCGAGAAGACUAAGGCGCUCGAGAGAAUGGUGGUUAAGGAACUCUGCAAAUUGGCCCCGUAAGUUCGCGAUAAGGGGUGCCCUCGGUGGUGAGAGCUGCUGGGGGCCACAGAAAAUCGGCUCCUGCGACUGUUUAUCAAAAACACAGGACUCUGCAAACUCGUAAGAGGAAGUAUAGGGUCUGACGCCUGCCCGGUGCCGGUAGGUUAAGGAAGACGGUUAGUCCUUCGGGAUGAAGCUGGCGACCGAAGCCCCGGUAAACGGCGGCCGUAACUAUGACGGUCCUAAGGUAGCGAAGUUCCUUGUCGGGUAAGUUCCGACCUGCAUGAAAGGCGUAACGACAGGAGCACUGUCUCAACCACCAACUCGGUGAAAUUGUAGUCGUGGUGAAGAUGCCACGUACCCGCGGUUAGACGGAAAGACCCCGUGAACCUUUACUGUAGGCAGAUAUUGGGCUGAGGUAUGUUUUGUGUAGGAUAGGUGGGAGGCUUUGAUCUGGUAGCGCCAGCUAUCAAGGAGCCGUCCUUGAAAUACCACCCUGAAUAUGUUUUAGUUCUAACCAUGAUCCAGUGAAUCCUGGCAUGGGACAUUGUCUGUUGGGCAGUUUGACUGGGGCGGUCUCCUCCCAAAGAGUAACGGAGGAGUGCAAAGGUACCCUCAGCCUGGUUGGCAAUCAGGCAUCGAGCGCAAAGGUAGAAGGGUGCUUGACUGCGAGACUCAUAAGUCGAGCAGAUACGAAAGUAGGUCUUAGUGAUCCGGUGGUUCCGAAUGGAAGGGCCAUCGCUCAUCAGAUAAAAGGUACUCCGGGGAUAACAGGCUUAUCGCUCCCGAGCGUCCAUAGCGGCGGAGCGGUUUGGCACCUCGAUGUCGGCUCAUCACAUCCUGGGGGUGAAGAAGCUCCCAAGGGUUUGGCUGUUCGCCAAUGAAAGUGGUACGUGAGCUGGGUUCAGACCGUCGUGAGACAGGUCGGUCCCUAUCUGCCGUGGGCGUACGAAACUUGAGGAGGUUCUCUUUAGUACGAGAGGAUUU